GUAUAUAUAUGUGUAUAUAUGUGUAUAUAUGUGUGUAUAUAUAUGUGUAUAUAUGUGUAUAUAUAUGUGUAUAUAUAUGUGUGUAUAUAUAUAUAUGUAUGCAUGCAUACGUGUGUGUAUGUGAUUUACUCAAGUUCUUGAUCAAACUUGUUGAAUCCCUCCCUCCCCAAGAUAUAGAUAUAUAUGUACUUAUAUGCAUAUAUAAAACUAGCAGCAGACAUGCUUUCAUGUUUACUGUUUUCUAGACACUGUGCUAAGAGAUUUUUUUUUAAUUCCACUUAACCUUUAAAACUACCUUAUGAAUAGGCAUUAUUAUUGGUUCCCAUUUACAGAUGAGAAAACUGAGGCUUACUCAGGGGAAGUAAUUUUGCCAUGAUCACAUGCAUAGUAAAUUAUUAUGCUGGGACUUUAACUAAAAAAGUUUGAUGUUAGAACCUGCAAUAUAAACCGACACUUUCUAUAUAUUCCUGGGGAAGUUGGAGCCAACUUACAAAAUGCUAGGGCAAAAAUUUAAGCAGCAGCAGAAGGGAAAGGAACUCAGAUUUGAGGCUAAAGACUGAUCCUGAGUCUCAUGGCACCAUUUCAUAAUAUGCCCAAAGUGGAUGUAUGACAUUUUAACCCUGGACAGUACUCUGCCAUGUUUUAUUAUUUCUCUGUACACCAGGCAGAGGAACUCCAAACAGAGAGGAGAGGUCAGCUUCAGAAAUAAAACUAUUGAGAGUGCUUUUAUUUUUUUCUACACUAGUCCCACAGGUCUAAGAAAGUCAAGGACUUGAUAUUUACCAUUCAUUGGCUCUACACAAAUGGGGAUCUGCACUCAGAAGCCACAGAAAAAGAAGAAAAUGCAGUUCACCACCUCCCAGCAGUCCUGGUGGUGUAGGAGGAUGCGCCGAGGCCAAUCUUUGAUGGCUGCUGGUUACUUCCUCAUGAGCAGUGUUAGGCUGGGGACAGCAGGCCGGAAAGGAGUGCUUGGAGAGUGUCUUGACCUUCACAGAUGUCUUGCAAAAGGAAGUCAGUAUAUUGCGUAUCUCUGAAGAUGAGAAUUUUGGUGAAGUUUCUGAAAGGUCACUGAUCGAAUGGCACACAUCUGUGAAUAGACAGCCACAUCUCUGCUGCCAGAAUACAGCUGCUGAGGUGUUUGGGGCUUACUUGGAGAAAUGAGGACAUUGAUCUGGGUGAAUGGUAGUAGCUGUACACAUACAAAGUACUGUUCACUUCUUUGCUAAGGUUUUAUGUACACUCUGAGGAUAUCAGAGAAUUCGGAGAAAAUCCAUGGCACAGAUUGGAUGCAUAAUACAUGUACGUACUUGAUUUGUGUGUUUAUGUACACUUAUUUUCUGGCCAGCAUAUAUUCUCCAUCAUUCC
rnacentral:lncRNA from 1 species